ACAACAGGUGGAGCCUGCGGUUUAAUCGGACUCAACGCCGGGAAACUCACCAGAUAAGACAGCUGAAUGAUAGUCGGGCUGAAGACUCUACUUGACUAGCUGAGAGGAGGUGCAUGGCCGUCAUCAGUUCGUACUGUGAAGCAUCCUGUUAAGUCAGGCAACGAGCGAGACCCACGCCAACAGUUGCCAGCUCGUCCUCCGGGAUGGUGGGGACACUGUUGGGACCGCCUCUGCUAAAGAGGAGGAAGGAAUGGGCAACGGUAGGUCAGCAUGCCCCGAAUUAUCUGGGCUACACGCGGGCUACAAUGGGUGGGACAAUGGGUAUCGACACCGAAAGGUGAAGGCAAUCUCCUAAACCCAUCCGUAGUUCGGAUUGUGGGCUGCAACUCGCCCACAUGAAGCUGGAAUCUGUAGUAAUCGUGUCUCAAAAUGGCACGGUGAAUAUGUCCCUGCUCCUU
rnacentral:rRNA from 1 species